GAUGAACGCUGGCGGCGUGCCUAAUACAUGCAAGUCGAGCGAACGGACGAGAAGCUUGCUUCUCUGAUGUUAGCGGCGGACGGGUGAGUAACACGUGGAUAACCUACCUAUAAGACUGGGAUAACUUCGGGAAACCGGAGCUAAUACCGGAUGAUAUUUUGAACCGCAUGGUUCAAAAGUGAAAGACGGUCUUGCUGUCACUUAUAGAUGGAUCCGCACUGCAUUAGCUAGUUGGUAAGGUAACGGCUUACCAAGGCAACGAUGCAUAGCCGACCUGAGAGGGUGAUCGGCCACACUGGAACUGAGACACGGUCCAGACUCCUACGGGAGGCAGCAGUAGGGAAUCUUCCGCAAUGGGCGAAAGCCUGACGGAGCAACGCCGCGUGAGUGAUGAAGGUCCUCGGAUCGUAAAACUCUGUUAUUAGGGAAGAACAUAUGUGUAAGUAACUGUGCACAUCUUGACGGUACCUAAUCAGAAAGCCACGGCUAACUACGUG
rnacentral:rRNA from 1 species